rnacentral:ribozyme from 2 species
CUAACAACUCCACCUGUAGCCUCUUUGGGGCUACUGCCGGUCUCAAGCCCGGAUAAAGGAGGAAGGUUGU